AGGAGGAACAACCACAGUGGCGGUGCCAGCUCUGGAGCCCUGGAUUCAGCUCCCGCAGGAAGUACGGAGCUCUCCGUCUGCAAGGACUGGAUGCUCCGGGGCGGG
rnacentral:pre_miRNA from 1 species